rnacentral:ncRNA from 14 species
AACUAUGACUCAACCUUUUGAGGGUCAUUAAAGCGGCGUGAAAACGUUCGCUAGUGAUCUGAAGCCUUUUCAGGUUGCGACACUGUCAAAUUGCGGGGAAGCCCUAAAGAUUCAACUACUAAGCAGCUUGUGGAAACACAGCUGUGGCCGAGUUAAUAGCCCUGGGUAUAGUAACAAUGUUGAAUAUGAAUCUUGAUUGAAGAUGAAAUGGGUGAUCCGCAGCCAAGUCCUAAGGACGUAUAAUGUCUAUGGAUGCAGUUCAACGACUAGAUGGCAGUGGGUGUUGUUAAGACUUAGGUUUUUACAAUGCUUAAGGUAUAGUCUAUUCUCUAUCGAAAGAUAGCGUAUGGUGCUC